rnacentral:rRNA from 1 species
UACAGAGGUCUCAAGCGUUGUUCGGAUUCAUUGGGCGUAGAGGGUGCGUAGGUGGCGCCAUAAGUCGGGUGUGAAAUCUCGGGGCUUAACUCCGAAACUGCAUUCGAUACUGUGGUGCUUGAGGACUGGAGAGGAGACUGGAAUUCAUGGUGUAGCAGUGAAAUGCGUAGAGAUCAUGAGGAAGACCAGUGGCGAAGGCGGAUCUCUGGACAGUUCCCGACACUGAGGCACGAAGGCCAGGGGAG